UACGUAGGGUGCAAGCGUUAAUCGGAAUUACUGGGCGUAAAGCGUGCGCAGGCGGUUAUGUAAGACAGGUGUGAAAUCCCAGGGCUUAACCUUGGAACUGCAUUUGUGACUGCAUAGCUAGAGUACGGUAGAGGGGGAUGGAAUUCCGCGUGUAGCAGUGAAAUGCGUAGAUAUGCGGAGGAACACCGAUGGCGAAGGCAAUCACCUGGGCCUGAACUGACACUGAGACGCGAAAGCGUGGGUAGCAAACAGG
rnacentral:rRNA from 1 species